AGAGUUUGAUCCUGGCUCAGAAUCAACGCUGGCGGCGUGCCUAACACAUGCAAGUCGCACGAGAAAAUAGACUUCGGUCUGUGAGUAAAGUGGCGUACGGGUGAGUAACACGUGACUAACCUACCUCGAGUGGGGAAUAACUCGUCGAAAGGCGAGCUAAUACCGCAUAACACCUGCGGGUCAAAGCAGAAAUGCGCUUG
rnacentral:rRNA from 1 species